UUAAGCGACUAAGCGUACACGGUGGAUGCCCUGGCAGUCAGAGGCGAUGAAGGACGUGCUAAUCUGCGAUAAGCGCCGGUAAGGUGAUAUGAACCGUUAUAACCGGCGAUUUCCGAAUGGGGAAACCCAGUGUGAUUCGUCACACUAUCAUUAACUGAAUCCAUAGGUUAAUGAGGCGAACCGGGGGAACUGAAACAUCUAAGUACCCCGAGGAAAAGAAAUCAACCGAGAUUCCCCCAGUAGCGGCGAGCGAACGGGGAGGAGCCCAGAGCCUGAAUCAGCAUGUGUGUUAGUGGAAGCGUCUGGAAAGGCGCGCGAUACAGGGUGACAGCCCCGUACACAAAAGCGCAUGUGCUGUGAGCUCGAUGAGUAGGGCGGGACACGUGGUAUCCUGUCUGAAUAUGGGGGGACCAUCCUCCAAGGCUAAAUACUCCUGACUGACCGAUAGUGAACCAGUACCGUGAGGGAAAGGCGAAAAGAACCCCGGCGAGGGGAGUGAAAAAGAACCUGAAACCGUGUACGUACAAGCAGUGGGAGCACCCUUCGGGGUGUGACUGCGUACCUUUUGUAUAAUGGGUCAGCGACUUAUAUUCUGUAGCAAGGUUAACCGUAUAGGGGAGCCGGAGGGAAACCGAGUCUUAAUUGGGCGUUAAGUUGCAGGGUAUAGACCCGAAACCCGGUGAUCUAGCCAUGGGCAGGUUGAAGGUUGGGUAACACUAACUGGAGGACCGAACCGACUAAUGUUGAAAAAUUAGCGGAUGACCUGUGGCUGGGGGUGAAAGGCCAAUCAAACCGGGAGAUAGCUGGUUCUCCCCGAAAGCUAUUUAGGUAGCGCCUCGUGAAUUCAUCUCCGGGGGUAGAGCACUGUUUCGGCUAGGGGGCCAUCCCGGCUUACCAACCCGAUGCAAACUGCGAAUACCGGAGAAUGUUAUCACGGGAGACACACGGCGGGUGCUAACGUCCGUCGUGAAGAGGGAAACAACCCAGACCGCCAGCUAAGGUCCCAAAGUCAUGGUUAAGUGGGAAACGAUGUGGGAAGGCCCAGACAGCCAGGAUGUUGGCUUAGAAGCAGCCAUCAUUUAAAGAAAGCGUAAUAGCUCACUGGUCGAGUCGGCCUGCGCGGAAGAUGUAACGGGGCUAAACCAUGCACCGAAGCUGCGGCAGCGAACGUAUCACCCAAGACAACUUUACGGAGUUGACGAUUGACGGAGCGAAGCGACGUCAAAGCGUUCAUUAAAGUCGAGUUGGCUUAGGGAUACGUUCGUUGGGUAGGGGAGCGUUCUGUAAGCCUGUGAAGGUGUGUCGUGAGGCAUGCUGGAGGUAUCAGAAGUGCGAAUGCUGACAUAAGUAACGAUAAAGCGGGUGAAAAGCCCGCUCGCCGGAAGACCAAGGGUUCCUGUCCAACGUUAAUCGGGGCAGGGUGAGUCGACCCCUAAGGCGAGGCCGAAAGGCGUAGUCGAUGGGAAACGGGUUAAUAUUCCCGUACUUGGUGUUACUGCGAAGGGGGGACGGAGAAGGCUAUGUUGGCCGGGCGACGGUUGUCCCGGUUUAAGCGUGUAGGUGUGUGUUCCAGGUAAAUCCGGUUCACUUUAACACUGAGGCGUGACGACGAGGCACUACGGUGCUGAAGCAACAAAUGCCCUGCUUCCAGGAAAAGCCUCUAAGCAUCAGGUAACACGAAAUCGUACCCCAAACCGACACAGGUGGUCAGGUAGAGAAUACCAAGGCGCUUGAGAGAACUCGGGUGAAGGAACUAGGCAAAAUGGUGCCGUAACUUCGGGAGAAGGCACGCUGACACGUAGGUGAAGUGAUUUACUCAUGGAGCUGAAGUCAGUCGAAGAUACCAGCUGGCUGCAACUGUUUAUUAAAAACACAGCACUGUGCAAACACGAAAGUGGACGUAUACGGUGUGACGCCUGCCCGGUGCCGGAAGGUUAAUUGAUGGGGUCAGCGCAAGCGAAGCUCCUGAUCGAAGCCCCGGUAAACGGCGGCCGUAACUAUAACGGUCCUAAGGUAGCGAAAUUCCUUGUCGGGUAAGUUCCGACCUGCACGAAUGGCGUAAUGAUGGCCAGGCUGUCUCCACCCGAGACUCAGUGAAAUUGAACUCGCUGUGAAGAUGCAGUGUACCCGCGGCAAGACGGAAAGACCCCGUGAACCUUUACUAUAGCUUGACACUGAACAUUGAGCCUUGAUGUGUAGGAUAGGUGGGAGGCUUUGAAGUGUGGACGCCAGUCUGCAUGGAGCCGACCUUGAAAUACCACCCUUUAAUGUUUGAUGUUCUAACGUGGACCCGUAAUCCGGGUUGCGGACAGUGUCUGGUGGGUAGUUUGACUGGGGCGGUCUCCUCCUAAAGAGUAACGGAGGAGCACGAAGGUUGGCUAAUCCUGGUCGGACAUCAGGAGGUUAGUGCAAUGGCAUAAGCCAGCUUGACUGCGAGCGUGACGGCGCGAGCAGGUGCGAAAGCAGGUCAUAGUGAUCCGGUGGUUCUGAAUGGAAGGGCCAUCGCUCAACGGAUAAAAGGUACUCCGGGGAUAACAGGCUGAUACCGCCCAAGAGUUCAUAUCGACGGCGGUGUUUGGCACCUCGAUGUCGGCUCAUCACAUCCUGGGGCUGAAGUAGGUCCCAAGGGUAUGGCUGUUCGCCAUUUAAAGUGGUACGCGAGCUGGGUUUAGAACGUCGUGAGACAGUUCGGUCCCUAUCUGCCGUGGGCGCUGGAGAACUGAGGGGGGCUGCUCCUAGUACGAGAGGACCGGAGUGGACGCAUCACUGGUGUUCGGGUUGUCAUGCCAAUGGCACUGCCCGGUAGCUAAAUGCGGAAGAGAUAAGUGCUGAAAGCAUCUAAGCACGAAACUUGCCCCGAGAUGAGUUCUCCCUGAGACUUAGAGUCUCCUGAAGGAACGUUGAAGACGACGACGUUGAUAGGCCGGGUGUGUAAGCGCAGCGAUGCGUUGAGCUAACCGGUACUAAUGAACCGUGAGGCUUAACCU
rnacentral:rRNA from 1 species